UACGGAGGGUGCAAACGUUGCUCGGAAUCAUUGGGCGUAAAGCGCAACGUAGGCGGCCUGAUAAGUCGGGUGUGAAAGCCCUGGGCUCAAACCCAGGAAGUGCACUCGAAACUGUCAGGCUUGAAUAUGGAAGAGGGUCGCGGAAUUCCCGGUGUAGAGGUGAAUUCGUAGAUAUCGGGAGGAACACCAGUGGCGAAGGCGGCGACCUGGGCCAAUAU
rnacentral:rRNA from 1 species